ensembl:snoRNA
CUGCAUACCAGUAGACCUUAUCUGGUUCUUCUAAUAGCCAGAUGAGGGGGAUGGUGCAUGCUACAAAAAACUGGGAUUGCUGUAGGCUGUGAUCAGCCUCGAUGUGGCUGAUUGGACUGCAAUGCUCCCAACAUAU